rnacentral:rRNA from 1 species
ACGGGAGGCAGCAGUGGGGAAUAUUGGGCAAUGGGCGAAAGCCUGACCCAGCAACGCCGCGUGAAGGAAGAAGGUCUUCGGAUUGUAAACUUCUUUUAUGAGGGACGAAGGACGUGACGGUACCUCAUGAAUAAGCCACGGCUAACUACGUGCCAGCAGCCGCGGUAAUACGUAGGUGGCAAGCGUUGUCCGGAAUUACUGGGUGUAAAGGGAGCGCAGGCGGGAAAUCAAGUUGGAUGUGAAAUGUCGGGGCUUAACCCCGGAACUGCAUCCAAAACUGAUUUUCUUGAGUGAAGUAGAGGUAGGCGGAAUUCCGAGUGUAGCGGUGAAAUGCGUAGAUAUUCGGAGGAACACCAGUGGCGAAGGCGGCCUACUGGGCUUUAACUGACGCUGAGGCUCGAAAGUGUGGGGAGCAAACAGGAUUAGAUACCCUGGUA